rnacentral:rRNA from 1 species
UACGGAGGAUGCGAGCGUUAUCCGGGUUUAUUGGGUUUAAAGGGUGCGCAGGCGGAUUUUUAAGUCAGCGGUCAAAUCGUGGGGCUCAACCCCAUCCAGCCGUUGAAACUGGGGAUCUAGAGUGUGCGAGAGGUAUGCGGAAUGCGUAGUGUAGCGGUGAAAUGCAUAGAUAUCACGCAGAACCCCGAUUGCGAAGGCAGCAUACCGGUGCACAACUGACGCUCAGGCACGAAAGCGUGGGUAUCGAACAGG